rnacentral:rRNA from 1 species
CCUACGGGUGGCUGCAGUGAGGAAUAUUGGUCACUGGACGAGAGUCUGAACCAGCCAAGUAGCGUGAAGGAUGACUGCCCUAUGGGUUGUAAACUUCUUUUAUAUGGGAAUAAAACAGGGUAUGCAUACCCUCUUGUAUGUACCAUAUGAAUAAGUAUCGGCUAACUCCGUGCCAGCAGCCGCGGUAAUACGGAGGAUCCGAGCGUUAUCCGGAUUUAUUGGGUUUAAAGGGAGCGUAGGUGGAUUGUUAAGUCAGUUGUGAAAGUUUGCGGCUCAACCGUAAAAUUGCAGUUGAAACUGGCGUUCUUGAGUGGGCGAGAAGUAUGCGGAAUGCGUGGUGUAGCGGUGAAAUGCUUAGAUAUCACGAAGAACUCCGAUUGCGAAGGCAGCCUACUAAACUGCCACUGACAUUGAUGCUCGAAAGUGUGGGUAUCAAACAGGAUUAGAUACCCCUGUAGUC